AGCAGCCGCGGUAAUUCCAGCUCCAAUAGCGUAUAUUAAAGUUGCUGCAGUUAAAAAGCUCGUAGUUGAAUUUCGAGAUCGGCUUAUUGGUCGUGCUAUUGUACGUACUGGUAUAACCGGUUUCUCCUUUCUGACGAACCUUAAUGCCAUUAAUUUGGUGUUUUGGGAAAUCAGGACUGUUACUUUGAAAAAUUAGAGUGUUUAAAGCAGGCUCACGCUUGAAUACAUUAGCAUGGAAUAAUGAAAUAGGACGUUUGAUUCUAUUUUGUUGGUUUCUAGGAUCGACGUAAUGAUUAAUAGGGAUAGUUGGGGCAUUAGUAUUCAAUUGUCAGAGGUGAAAUUCUUGGAUUUAUUGAAGACUAACUACUGCGAAAGC
rnacentral:rRNA from 1 species